AGAGUUUGAUCCUGGCUCAGAUUGAACGCUGGCGGCAUGCCUUACACAUGCAAGUCGAACGGUAACGCGGGGGCAACCCUGGCGACGAGUGGCGAACGGGUGAGUAAUACAUCGGAACAUAUCCAGUAGCGGGGGAUAACCUAUCGAAAGAUGGACUAAUACCGCAUACGAUCUACGGAUGAAAGCAGGGGACCGCAAGGCCUUGCACUAUUGGAGUGGCCGAUGUCGGAUUAGCUAGUUGGUGGGGUAAAGGCUUACCAAGGCGACGAUCCGUAGCUGGUCUGAGAGGACGAUCAGCCACACUGGAACUGAGACACGGUCCAGACUCCUACGGGAGGCAGCAGUGGGGAAUUUUGGACAAUGGGCGCAAGCCUGAUCCAGCCAUGCCGCGUGAGUGAAGAAGGCCUUCGGGUUGUAAAGCUCUUUCGGUGAAGACGAAACGGUUAGCGCUAAUAACGCUGACUAAUGACGGUACUCACAGAAGAAGCACCGGCUAACUACGUGCCAGCAGCCGCGGUAAUACGUAGGGUGCAGGCGUUAAUCGGAAUUACUGGGCGUAAAGCGUGCGCAGGCGGUUUGCUAAGACAGGUGUGAAAUCCCCGGGCUUAACCUGGGAAUUGCGCUUGUAACUGGCAAGCUAGAGUGUGGCAGAGGGGGGCGGAAUUCCACGUGUAGCAGUGAAAUGCGUAGAUAUGUGGAGGAACACCGAUGGCGAAGGCAGCCCCCUGGGUUAACACUGACGCUCAUGCACGAAAGCGUGGGGAGCAAACAGGAUUAGAUACCCUGGUAGUCCACGCCCUAAACUAUGUCAACUAGUUGUCGGGGAAGAAAUUCCUUGGUAACGAAGCUAACGCGUGAAGUUGACCGCCUGGGGAGUACGGCCGCAAGGUUAAAACUCAAAGGAAUUGACGGGGACCCGCACAAGCGGUGGAUUAUGUGGAUUAAUUCGAUGCAACGCGAAAAACCUUACCUACCCUUGACAUGCUAGGAAGCCCGCAGAGAUGUGGGUGUGCCCGAAAGGGAACCUAGACACAGGUGCUGCAUGGCUGUCGUCAGCUCGUGUCGUGGGAUGUUGGUUAAGUCCCGCAACGAGCGCAACCCUUGCCAUUAGUUGCCACAUUCAGUUGGGCACUCUAAUGGGACCGCCGGUGACAAACCGGAGGAAGGUGGGGAUGACGUCAAGUCCUCAUGGCCCUUAUGGGUAGGGCUUCACACGUAAUACAAUGGUCGGUACAGAGGGCUGCCAACCCGCAAGGGGGAGCUAAUCCCAGAAAGCCGAUCGUAGUCCGGAUUGUAGUCUGCAACUCGACUGCAUGAAGCCGGAAUCGCUAGUAAUCGCGGAUCAGCAUGUCGCGGUGAAUACGUUCCCGGGUCUUGUACACACCGCCCGUCACACCAUGGGAGUGGGUUCCACCAGAAGUAGUUAGCCUAACCGCAAGGAGGGCGAUUACCACGGUGAGAUUCAUGACUGGGGUGAAGUCGUAACAAGGUA
rnacentral:rRNA from 1 species